GAUGAACGCUGGCGGCGUGCCUAAUACAUGCAAGUCGAACGAAGAUCUAGCUUGCUAGAUCUUAGUGGCGAACGGGUGAGUAAUACAUAAAUAAUCUGCCCAUAUGACUGGGAUAACUAUUGGAAACGAUAGCUAAUACCGGAUAGGUUGAUCGGAGGCAUCUCUGAUGAAUUAAAGUAGGAUUUCUACACAAAUGGAUGAGUUUAUGGCGCAUUAGUUAGUUGGUGGGGUAACGGCCUACCAAGACGAUGAUGCGUAGCCGACCUGAGAGGGUGACCGGCGACACUGGGACUGGGACACGGCCCAGACUCCUACGGGAGGCAGAAGUAGGGAAUUUUCGGCAAUGGGCGCAAGCCUGACCGAGCAACGCCGCGUGAGUGAUUAAGGCCUUCGGGUUGUAAAGCUCUGUUGUAAGGGAAGAACAUGCAGGAUAGGAAAUGAUCUUGAACUGACGGUACCUUACCAGAAAGCCACGGCUAACUACGUGCCAGCAGCCGCGGUAA
rnacentral:rRNA from 1 species